UGUUAAAAAUAUCAUCCAUUUCUACUGUUGAAGACUAAUGUAGCUAAUAGAAUAGUCAAAUAGUUACACGUGGCGUAUCAGUAUACCUUAUGUUGAAGUAUAGGAACUAGUUUACCUAUUUUUAACUAUAAAAAUGAAUGAAAUUUUUAAGA
rfam:Gossypium hirsutum cultivar TM-1 unplaced genomic scaffold scaffold1149.1, whole genome shotgun sequence